rnacentral:rRNA from 1 species
GAUGAACGCUGGCGGCGUGCCUAAUACAUGCAAGUCGAGCGAACAGAUGAGGAGCUUGCUCCUCUGACGUUAGCGGCGGACGGGUGAGUAACACGUGGAUAACCUACCUAUAAGACUGGGAUAACUUCGGGAAACCGGAGCUAAUACCGGAUAAUAUAUUGAACCGCAUGGUUCAAUAGUGAAAGACGGUUUUGCUGUCACUUAUAGAUGGAUCCGCGCCGCAUUAGCUAGUUGGUAAGGUAACGGCUUACCAAGGCAACGAUGCGUAGCCGACCUGAGAGGGUGAUCGGCCACACUGGAACUGAGACACGGUCCAGACUCCUACGGGAGGCAGCAGUAGGGAAUCUUCCGCAAUGGGCGAAAGCUUGACGGAGCAACGCCGCGUGAGUGAUGAAGGUCUUCGGAUCGUAAAACUCUGUUAUUAGGGAAGAACAAAUGUGUAAGUAACUAUGCACGUCUUGACAGUACCUAAUCAGAAAGCCACGGCUAACUACGUG